CUGCUGCCUUCCGUAGGAGUUUGGACCGUGUCUCAGUUCCAAUGUGGCCGAUCACCCUCUCAGGUCGGCUACUGAUCGUCGCCUUGGUAGGCCGUUACCCCACCAACUAGCUAAUCAGACGCAGGCCCAUCCUUUGCCGAUAAAUCUUUGACCAAACAGCCAUGUGACUAUUUAGUAUUAUGAGGUUUUAAUCAUCGUUUCCAAUGGCUAUCCCUCUGCAAAGGGCAGGUUGCAUACGUUAGUUACUCCUACCCCG
rnacentral:rRNA from 1 species